rfam:Aedes albopictus isolate Foshan contig46658, whole genome shotgun sequence.
ACCUCUGUAGCUCAGUUGGUCAAAGCAUUUGUCUACCGUGUAAGGUUCGUGAGUUCAAAUCUCACCGGAACUG